UACGAAGGGGGCUAGCGUUGCUCGGAAUCACUGGGCGUAAAGCGCACGUAGGCGGACUCUUAAGUCGGUGGUGAAAUCCUGGAGCUCAACUCCAGAACUGCCUUCGAUACUGAGAGUCUUGAGUCCGGGAGAGGUGAGUGGAACUGCGAGUGUAGAGGUGAAAUUCGUAGAUAUUCGCAAGAACACCAGUGGCGAAGGCGGCUCACUGGCCCGUAACUGACGCUCAUGCACGACAGCGUGGGGAUCAAACAGGG
rnacentral:rRNA from 1 species